AGGGCUAGGGGGCAUACCCGCCUACCAACCCCUAUCAAACUCCGAAUACCAUUCAAUAGAGCGCAGCAGUGAGACGGCGGGGGAUAAGCUUCGUCGUCGAGAGGGAAACAGCCCAGAUCAGCAGCUAAGGUGCCUAAAUUGUGCUCAGUGGAAAGGAGGUGAGGUUUCAUAGACAGUGAGGAUGUUGGCUUAGAAGCAGCCACCAUUUAAAAAAUGCGUAAUAGCUUACUCAUCGAGAGACCUUGCGCCGAAAAUACUUGGCGAUAAGCACAAUACCGAAGCUCUGGGUGUCCUAGUUUACUAGGGCGCGGUAGAGGAGCAUUCUCUGUGCAGUGAAGGGUGAUGGCGACUGACCCUGGAGCGCAGAGAAGUGAGAAUGCAGACAUGAGUAACGAUAAGAGCAGUGAAAUCCUGCUCCGCCGUAAAUCCAAGGUUUCCCGGGCAACGUUUUUCGUCCCGGGGUUAGUCGGGACCUAACCCGAGGCCGAUGGGCGUAGGGGAUGGUAAGCAGGUUAAUAUUCCUGCACCCAGUAAGGAGGACGCAUAAUGAAAAGCUACUAUCUUAAUGAAUUGGGAGGCGAGGCUCAGGCCGGACCGCAUAGCUAGACAGAGUGCCAAGAAAAGCCCUUACAUUAAUGGCCCGUACCGUAAACCGACACAGGUGGAUGGGUAGAAUAUACCAAGGCGCAAGAGUGAAACCUGGUCAAGGAACUCGGCAAAAUAGCCCCGUAACUUCGGAAGAAGGGGUGCCCCCUCUGGGGGGCCGCAGUGAAAUGGCCCAACCGACUGUUUAGCAAAAACACAGCAUUGUGCUAAGGCGUAAGCCGACGUAUACGAUGUGACACGUGACCAAUGCCAAAAGAUUACGGUAAGAUGUUAGCACUUUAGUGCGAAGCUUCGAGCCCAAGUCCUGGUGAAUGUCGGCCGUAACUAUAACGGUCCUAAGGUAGCGAAAUUCCUUGUCGGGUAAGUUCCGACCUGCACGAAUCGUGCAACGAGUUGGGCGCUGUCUCGACCAGGUGCUCAGUGAAAUUGUAGUUCCGGUGAAGAUGCCGGACACCCGCAGAAGGACGGAAAGACCCUAUAGACCUUAACUGUAAGCUGUUAUUGGUUGUUCGAUCUUAAUGCUCAGCAUAAGUGGGAGACAUUGAAGGGUGCGUUUAGGCGCAUCUGGAGUCAUCAGUGAGAUACCACCCUUUAAUAUUGGAUAAUCUAACCCCGAGCCGUCACCCGGCCGUGGGGACAAUGGCAGCCGGUCAGUUUUACUGGGGCGGUAUCCUCCUAAAGAGUAACGGAGGAGCGCGAAGGUGGGCUCAGCACAGUUGGCAACUGUGUGUUGAGUGUAAAGGCACAAGCCCGCCUAACUGUGAGACCUACAAGUCGAGCAGAUACGAAAGUAGGCCUUAGUGAUCCGGCGGUAGAAUGUGGAAUUGCCGUCGCUCAACGGAUAAAAGGUACCUUAGGGAUAACAGGCUUAUCACGCCCAAGAGUUCAUAUCGACGGCGUGGUUUGGCACCUCGAUGUCGGCUCGUCGCAUCCUGGGGCUGGAGAAG
rnacentral:rRNA from 1 species